rnacentral:tmRNA from 1 species
GGGGGCGUUCCGGUUUCGACGCGGGCGCUGAAGGCCAAGGAGCAUGCCGGGGCGCCCGAGGUCCUCGUAAAAACGGGCAAACUGUAGUCGGCAACGAUUACGCACUCGCAGCUUAAUUGACUGCGCAUGAGACCAGGAAGCGGUUGCGGUCCUGAAUCUCGUGUAACUUUAGCGACCUAGGUGCACACAUGUUUUCUCCAGGUGUGCGCACUUAAAAACUCUGGGGGAGGGAUACGUGUGAGUUUGUCGAUGGACGCUCGCAUAUCGCCCUUAAAACAUCGACUAAGCAUGUAGUCGCCUUGGUUCUGAUCGCUCACGGACGGGGGUUCGACUCCCCCCGCCUCCACCA